GUGACCUGCUGGCUGGGGGCUGGAACACUCUGAAGGCUCACUCAUGUGGCUGGCAUUUGACAUUGCCUGAGGCUGGGGUGUUAAGUUGGAGCGAUCAGCCAAAACACGUACACGAGGCUUCCCCACGUGGCAGCUCGCCUUUCUCGCAGAGUGGUGGCUGGGUUUCAAGAGUGAGCUUCCCAAUCAACAAGGCAGAAACACGUGGCAUUUUUAUGACCUGGCCUCUUGUGCCAGCCCCAUACUCUUUUGGUCAAGAAGUUGCUACAUCCAUUGCCAGUUUUCUACAACCAGAGUUCACCUAUGGGCAUGAGUUGGCAUCCAUGGCACCUCUGUCCUAGAGCAACUGGUCAGCCUCCUUUUCCCAGUUUUUUCGGAGAGAAUUUGGUAAGCUGCUGGAUGGAUUUUUAGGCAGUUAAAAGAGAUCUACCCAAGGAAUGAGGAAAACUGGGGAGAAGGAAUGAAUUAUCUGCGUAUUUGAAGUAAGUCAAGAAGCUAGAUAAUGUUCCUUGAUAGGUUUCCCUGUACAUGAUUCUGUCACACCAAAUUAA